UACGUAGGGGGCAAGCGUUGUCCGGAAUCAUUGGGCGUAAAGCGCGCGUAGGCGGCCCGAUAAGUCCGCUGUGAAAGUCCAGGGCUCAACCCUGGAAAGCCGGUGGAUACUGUCGGGCUAGAGUCCGGAAGAGGCGAGUGGAAUUCCUGGUGUAGCGGUGGAAUGCGCAGAUAUCAGGAGGAACACCGAUGGCGAAGGCAGCUCGCUGGGACGGUACUGACGCUGAGGCGCGAAAGCGUGGGGAGCGAACAGG
rnacentral:rRNA from 1 species